GUAACAAGGUCUCCGUUGGUGAACCAGCGGAGGGAUCAUUACAGAGUUGCAAAACUCCCUAAACCAUUGUGAACGUUACCUAUACCGUUGCUUCGGCGGGCGGCCCCGGGGUUUACCCCCCGGGCGCCCCUGGGCCCCACCGCGGGCGCCCGCCGGAGGUCACCAAACUCUUGAUAAUUUAUGGCCUCUCUGAGUCUUCUGUACUGAAUAAGUCAAAACUUUCAACAACGGAUCUCUUGGUUCUGGCAUCGAUGAAGAACGCAGCGAAAUGCGAUAAGUAAUGUGAAUUGCAGAAUUCAGUGAAUCAUCGAAUCUUUGAACGCACAUUGCGCCCGCCAGCAUUCUGGCGGGCAUGCCUGUUCGAGCGUCAUUUCAACCAUCAAGCCCCCGGGCUUGUGUUGGGGACCUGCGGCUGCCGCAGGCCCUGAAAAGCAGUGGCGGGCUCGCUGUCGCACCGAGCGUAGUAGCAUACAUCUCGCUCUGGUCGCGCCGCGGGUUCCGGCCGUUAAACCACCUUUUUAACCCAAGGUUGACCUCGGAUCAGGUAGGAAGACCCGCUGAACUUAAGCAUAUCAAUAA
rnacentral:misc_RNA from 1 species